AUAAGUUGUAGGGAACGUGAAAGGACCGACCUUCGGGAGCUUAUACAGGUGUUGCAUGGCUGUCGUCAGCUCGUGUCGUGAGAUGUUCGGUUAAGUCCGCUAACGAGCGCAACCCUCGCCGUAUGUUACAAGUGUCAUACGGGACUGCCGGUAAAAAGCCGGAGGAAGGUGAGGAUGAUGUCAAGUCAGCAUGACCUUUAUAUCCAGGGCUACACACACGCUACAAUGGUCUGUACAAUUGGUUGCCAAGCCGCGAGGCGGAGCCAAUCCGUAAAGCAGGCCUCAGUUCAGAUUGCAGUCUGCAACUCGACUGCAUGAAGCCGGAGUUGCUAGUAACCGCAGGUCAGCAAUACUGCGGUGAAUACGUUCCCGGGUCUU
rnacentral:rRNA from 1 species